rnacentral:rRNA from 1 species
GACGAACGCUGGCGGCGUGCUUAACACAUGCAAGUCGAACGGUGAAGCUCCAGCUUGCUGGAGUGGAUCAGUGGCGAACGGGUGAGUAACACGUGUGCAACCUGCCCCUGACUCUGGAAUAAGCGCUGGAAACGGCGUCUAAUACUGGAUACGAGAAGGGUCCGCAUAGGCACUUUCUGGAAAGUUUUUCGGUUGGGGAUGGGCUCGCGGCCUAUCGGCUUGUUGGUGAGGUAAUGGCUCACCAAGGCGACGACGGGUAGCCGGCCUGAGAGGGCGACCGGCGACACUGGGACGGAGACACGGCCCAGACGCCUACGGGAGGCAGCAGGGGGGAAUAUUGCACAAUGGGGGAAAGCCUGAUGCAGCGACGCCGCGUGAGGGAUGACGGCCUUCGGGGUGUAAACCUCUUUCAGCAGAGAAGAAGCGAAAGUGACGGUACCUGCAGAAGAAGCACCGGCUAACUACGUG